AUAUAUAAACUACGACUUGGUCAACAAAAAAUGAAUUGCCGUAUGCAAAGCAUGCAGUUCGAAUAUUACAGACGGAGACGCAAUAACUUCCAACUUCGUUCGACAUUUUAAGUUGCACAAAGAAGGGCCAGCAGAGAAGGCCUGGCUGGCCCUGACGGCACACCACUGGGUGACUGCCACACAUUGCCUGGAUAAGACGGACAAUGAGUGGCACCCCAUUGGAUCAUCUUGGAGAAACAGUGCCUGCAUGGAUUGCUCUUGCAGCGGGUGCUGCACUGCGUAUAGCAUUCCCAGCCAAUUCCCCGCAGAUUGUGUGUCCGUUCUCGACCCGGUGGCAUGUAAAUACAAAGUUUACAAGAGGGACAACCCAUCAGAAGAAUGUCCCGUUUUUGGUGCGGUUGGAAAGUAAUGGAAAAAAAUGUCACCAUGCGUUGACCCUCUUUUUACAUUUGCAACACAAAAAUGUCACGUGCUUACAAAUGGAAAACAAUAAAACAUACAAUCCCUCAUUGA